UUUUCUUUCUUUCUUCCUCGCGUCUCAAUUUGCUACUGCAAAGCAAAUACUCAUUCCUUCCUUCAAAUCCCCAUUCUUCUCUCUUCCUUCAACCAUUGUUCGUUCUGAUUGAACUUUGCUAGGGUUUCAACCUCUCUCACUCUCAGUAAGCAAAGGUUGUAUCCUUAAUGAGAGACCAUCAUCACCAGACUCUAAAACAAAUUUUUCUUUCCAAAUGGCAUUGGUUGUAAUGUGUGGGCAGCCAUGCAGUGGGAAGUCCAAAGCUGCACGCUGUCUUGCCGAAGCUCUCAAAGAAUCAGAACCAAAACAUCAAGUGAGAAUCAUAGGAUGCGAGGAACCUUCCUAAAAUUGACAGGGCAAACAAGUUUAAGUGGUCCACCACCUCCUUCUGAUGCAGAUAGUGCAAAAAGAAUGUUCAUUGACUACUUGAACAGGGAACUGGGAACAUCCUGAAGAUAUGAUGAUAGUCUUGCAAUUCAGCUUAAAAGAUGCCAUAUUUGUGUGAUUAGAUCCUGAGUUGUUUUAUAUUUUACCUAGAGCAUUAUUAUUGAAUAAACUGGUUUUUGAAUUCCCUCUUUAUUCUACUAUCAUUUAAUUU